UACGAAAGGGGCUAGCGUUGCUCGGAAUCACUGGGCGUAAAGGGUGCGUAGGCGGGUCUUUAAGUCAGGGGUGAAAUCCUGGAGCUCAACUCCAGAACUGCCUUUGAUACUGAGGAUCUUGAGUUCGGGAGAGGGAUGCGGAAUUCCAGGUGUAGCGGUGAAAUGCGUAGAUAUCUGGAGGAACACCGGUGGCGAAGGCGGCAUCCUGGACCGGCACUGACGCUGAGGAGCGAAAGCCAGGGGAGCAAACGGG
rnacentral:rRNA from 1 species